GGAAAUAUAGUUUAAUGGUAGAAUAUUCGCCUCUUGGUGUGAGGUUGAUUCGACGUUAGAUGCCGACGGGCUGGAGGCUAAGGGGUCGUUUCAACUCACCGGGUUCGUGGGAGAUGAGAGUUCGAUUCUCUCUGUUUCUA
rfam:Sclerotinia sclerotiorum 1980 scaffold_20 genomic scaffold, whole genome shotgun sequence.